rnacentral:lncRNA from 1 species
CUUCCUUCCUUCCUUUCUUCCUUCCCUUCAGAUAUAUCUAUGAAAUAGCCAGACAGAACCCAUUCAUCUUUGCCCUCACACUCUUGUCUCUGGCUGCUCACUACAAAGAAGUCAGCGCUAGUUGUUGUCAAGAAGAAAACAAACAUGAAUGCUUCCACACAAAGGCAACAAUUAUUGCAAAUGAUUGAAAAGAAAUCUCUGCCAAGCAGCAAAACCUCUGUGGGGUAUUGAGGCAAUUUAGACCCAAAGGAGUGAAACUUCAGAAAGUUGUGGAAAUCAGCCAAAAAUUCCCCAAGAUUGACUUUAAAGAACUUGACAUACUCUUGAAAGGUAUUCCGACCAUGAUCGAUGGGUGCUGCCAAGGGGAUGUAGUUCACUGUUUCCAUAGUGAGGUAUGCCUAAUUCUUAGAGAGCUUUGGGGAAUAAAUAAAAAUCGAACCAUAAACCCAAAUGUGGAUAGUUGCUGUAAAUCCUCACCUGUCUUCUGAUCACGGUGUUUUAAUAAUCUGACUGCAGAUGAAACAUAUACUCCUCUGACAUUCCUUCCUGAGGCGUUCACUUUUAAUAUAACUUUGUGCCAGAAAACAGAGCAACAGAGAAAGAGACGAGAGUAUGUAACAU